GACACGUGCGACAUCAAGUGGG
rnacentral:siRNA from 1 species